GCCUACCGAAGAUGGAGCUCCCUCGCAGGGGGUAGCCUCCGAAGGAGAAGACGUGGGAGUGGUCGGCAGUGACGAGGCUCAGCGUGUCCUCCUCGCUGGUGAGCUGGCCCGCCCUCUCAAUGGCGUCGUCGAACAUGAUCGUCUCAGUCAGUGCCCGCCCUUGGCCUGGGGGUCGCACGUCAAUGUCCAUGUUGGAGAUGAGCUGCGUAGCGAUGUCCUGGCACCCCUCCUGGCGGGCGGAGGCAGGCACGUCGGCGUCCGAGUACCAGUUGCGGUUCACCGUGUGGGCGUAGGUGCCGGCUGGCGAGGCGUGCUGCACUCGUGUGGUGGUUACCACUCCCACUGACUUCCCUAAG
ensembl:lncRNA ECEL1P2 endothelin converting enzyme like 1 pseudogene 2